rnacentral:lncRNA from 1 species
AGCUUAUUCGUUUGCAGACUAGAAAAAUGGCGAACAGUCAUCAAAAUACUGAUUCAAAAUACACAUCUUUCACUGGACACACAAAUGGGUGCGCGCAGCAAAAUUCAGCCCUAAUGGCGAAUGUGUGCGAACGUUCACCGUGGGAAGAGGUAUGGGACGACAGCUGGCAUUGCAUCCAGACGGUAAUCUGGUGGCUUUAGCAUUAAUUUGUAACCGCUUUAAGAUAUUUGACAUAGCUGAAGGCGAGCUAAUACAGUGCA